AGGCAUAGUGAGAGGUAGUUAGGCCUCCUCUCUUACCCAUAACAAACAAAACAAAUCAAUUAGUAUUUAGAUAAUGCUCCAUCUUUGUCUCUGUCAAUUAUUUAGACAGUGCUCCAUCUCCGUUUCCGUCUCCUUCUCUGUCUCUAUCUUCGUCGCCGAUUACGUCUCUCUCGCUCUAGAUUCAAGUUCGUUCUUUCUCUCUUCGAUCCUUGCUCUCUCUAUAUCUGUUCGUAUUUCUCUCUCUAUCUCUCCCUCUCUCUUUCCCGAUCCCUCUCCCCCAUCGAAGACAUUUGCGAAGUCUCGACCUUCAUAUUCUCAAGGUAUCAGGACCAGUUGUUGCAGAUGGAAUGGUAGGGGCUGCUAUGUAUGAAUUGGUAUGUGUCGGACAUGACAAACUUAUUGGGGAAAUUAUUCAUCUAGAAAGAGAUUCUGCAACAAUCCAAGCCUCUGUCCGUGGAAUUAGGUCUUGGAAUCUUGGGGAAUAUAUUUGAUGGUAUUCAAGCUUGUGAAAUAUAUGCUUCUUCAUAUUGCCUAACUUGAAUGUUGUCUGAACAAAAACUUUUUGCAACUAGGUCUUUUAUUAUUAGCCUAGCUUAAGGAGGACAUUUACCCACUGACAAUCCAUUUAUUGUUUAAAAAUAAUUCAGAGGUCUCUAAAGACCAUGGCAAAGCGAUCUGGUGAUGUGUAUAUCCCUCGUGGUGUCUCUGUCCUGGCCCUUAACUAGGACACCCUUUGGGAAUUCUAGUCUAAAAAAAUAGGUAAUCAAAGAGCAUUUUACUUUAGUCGUUUAGAGACAAUUGUUAUGGAUUUUGUUCACAUUAGAGAGCUAGAAAGACUUGAUGCUUUAUAGUUUAACGUCAUCUGUUGGUGGCAUGUGAGGGAGAUCUUAUAACAGGGGAAGACUUAUAUGCUGUAAGUUUAACAAUGCUUUACUUAGUUUACAAAAGUUUAAAGUCCUUUCAUAUUCGUCUGGCAUUUUUAUUUUGUUGUUCUUCAUCUAAGGUUGACAUGGUUAAAUCAUUAUGCAUAUUGUCUUUGAGAAUAGUUUAGUACAGCACCAUGUUGCACUUCCUCCUAAUUCUAUGGGAAAGAUAACCUACAUUGCACCAGCUGGUCAAUAUUCAUUGAAGCAGUGAGAAAAUGAACUCCUUGGAGUUGAUCGCAAGUACGUCGCAUGUCAAGUUUUCAAGGCACACAAUCAGGUCAUAUUAAACAUAUGGAAUUCAAUUUCCCGACCAUGCAAAAUUUGAAUUCUCCUCCAGGAGACUCCAAAUAUUUGACUAAUUGAUUUACGAUUUGUAGUUAUGUUUUUUGGAUGUUUAAAGUUGUAUUUUAGAGAUUAGUGAAUCUUAUGAUUCGGAUGCUUUUCUUCGUUUGUAUGUUUGAAGUUGUUAUCUACUUGAUAUUAUAGAAGAAGUUGUUAUCAACUUGAUAUGAUAGAAGUUGAGAAUGGAAGUUAGUAUGUAGGUUGUUUGGUGU